ACAGACCAAACCGAGAAGACCACUAUUGAAGACAAAACCAAGCUCACACAACUUUUUUUCUUCACCAAAAGACUUAGGUUAUUUCACAAGAGUUGUAGAUUUUGGCCUAAGGAGCAAAACUCACCACUUUGUUCACCUAGAAAAGCUCUAGUUUGAUAGAUAUCCUCCUCUUUCAUGUUCGACCAGCCAUGUAUCCAUGGAGCAAGGAUGAGCUUUUGAAGCCUUUAAUCAUGGAAACAUGAUCCUUGGAUGAUUUUGAAGACAUCUAUGUGUUAAGUGGACUAGUUUGUAGACAUUGGAAAGCUUGGAUUGUUGGUGAAUUCACUAGUGCAUCAAUUCGGCCAUUUCUUGAAUGUGAACCUUGGAAGUUUUUUUGAUCUUGGUUGAUGCUUGGAAGCCCCUCUAGGGUCAUUCCAAGUGGUUGUAAGGAAAAAGAGAAGUGAAAAUUACAAAUUAUAAAAAGCCUGUUGACGCAACUCCACACACAGGAAAGUUCCAUGUUACAUCAUGUUGCAUAGGCCAAAGUCCAGAGAAUUGGCGCUAGUUGGCGCCAGAAUGGCGCAAACUAGCGCCACCAUGCCAACCAGUGCCAAGUGAAGCCAACCAGCGCCAAGUGAAGCCAAGUAGCGCCAUUCCAUGCUAAGUGGCGCCAAACCAUGCUAAGUGGCGCCAAACCAUGCCAAGUGGCGCCCAAAAUACAAGAGGUGGCGUCAACUGGCGCCGGUCCACGUAGAAGCAGGUCCGACUUUUCACAAUUGGACAGUAACUCUGCGCGAAGUGGCGCCGUACCGGCGCCAUCUAGCGCCGGGUUGCGAGAAAUUUACUCCGUGUUUUCGGAUGAGUAUUUUUGGAAGAAGAAAAAGAGACUUAUAAAUAGGAUCCUUGUGACAGAAUUAGGCAUUUAGACCUAUUCUUCUGAAGAGAGACGACGACAGAGCUCCGAGAGGAUACCUGAGAUCAAGUUCUUCUUCUCUUUUCUCUUUAAUUUUAUGCUAUUGAAUAUUGGAUUUUUAGCCAUGAUUAUGCUUGGCUAGUACUUUUUAUUGUAGUUAGGGUCACAAACCCUAUGUGAACCCUUGUUACUCGGAUUGAUUUACAAUUGCUCGUUUAUAUAAUUAUCUUUAUCUCUACCCUGUUCGUAUUUUAUAUUUUCUUUAUUAGAAUGGAUCACUCUAAUAGUUGAUAAUAGUCUGAGGGUUAGAACUCUAGAUAGGGGAUAUUGGGUUUUCAUCCUGAAAGAGGGUAGGAUAACGGUUCGUAUGCAUGCUAGGAAUAGAUGUGUAUUGAAUUGCGGAUGCCUAAAUUAUAGAGUUCAUCGCUUAAUUUUCAUUAGGGGUUGCUAAGGGAUUAGGAUUCCAAUUGGGGAUUAAAGGGUUAAAUUGC